CCUACGGGAGUCAGCAGUGAGGAAUAUUGGUCAAUGGGCGCGAGCCUGAACCAGCCAAGUCGCGUGAAGGAUGACUGCCCUACGGGUUGUAAACUUCUUUUAUAAAGGAAUAAAGUGAUGCACGUGUGCUUUUUUGUAUGUAUUUUAUGAAUAAGGAUCGGCUAACUCCGUGCCAGCAGCCGCGGUAAUAAGGAGGAUCCGAGCGUUAUCCGGAUUUAUUGGGUUUAAAGGGCGCGUAGAUGGGUUGUUAAGUCCGUUGUGAAAGUUUGCGGCUCAACCGUAAAAUUGCAAUUGAUACUGGCAGCCUUGAGUGCAGAUGAGGUAGGCGGAAUUCGUGGUGUAGCGGUGAAAUGCUUAGAUAUCACGAAGAACUCCGAUUGCGAAGGCAGCCUACUAGACUGCCACUGACAUUGAUGCUCGAAAGUGUGGGGAUCAAACAGGAUUAGAUACCCCUGUAGUC
rnacentral:rRNA from 1 species